GACGAACGCUGGCGGCGUGCUUAACACAUGCAAGUCGAACGGAAAGGCCCUGCUUUUGUGGGGUGCUCGAGUGGCGAACGGGUGAGUAACACGUGAGUAACCUGCCCUUGACUUUGGGAUAACUUCAGGAAACUGGGGCUAAUACCGGAUAGGAGCUCCUGCUGCAUGGUGGGGGUUGGAAAGUUUCGGCGGUUGGGGGUGGACUCGCGGCUUAUCAGCUUGUUGGUGGGGUAGUGGCUUACCAAGGCUUUGACGGGUAGCCGGCCUGAGAGGGUGACCGGCCACAUUGGGACUGAGAUACGGCCCAGACUCCUACGGGAGGCAGCAGUGGGGAAUAUUGCACAAUGGGCGGAAGCCUUAUGCAGCAACGCCGCGUGCGGGAUGACGGCCUUCGGGUUGUAAACCGCUUUCGCCUGUGACGAAGCGUGAGUGACGGUAAUGGGUAAAGAAGCACCGGCUAACUACGUG
rnacentral:rRNA from 1 species